UGGGAGUUCAAAGUUGAGGCUGCCAUCUGGAUUAGGAUCUCAGCUGCACGGUUUGGGCAUGUCUCCUGCUUUUGUUAAACACUGAGACAUGUUCUUUCCCCCUGACACUCAUUCUUUCCCUCUGGUUUGUAGGUUGAAGAAUCAGGUAAUUACCACCCUGGGGUUUCCAUCCUCUGGAAAAUGCUGUGCCCUCCUACAAAAGGCAGGUCUUCCUCUUCAAACAGAAGCGCUCAUGGUAGGUGGGUUAUCUUUGCUUCUUGCUUUGUGUUUGUUUCUCUGUAAAAUGAACAUUUCUUCCAGAGCUGCUUAGGGCUAAGGGAGGUGAGUCAUAAGCCUCAUUUUACUGUGCAAGUCUUUACACGGACUUUAAUUAGGAUGAGAGACCAUUUACGCUCUGAGCUUCAUUUUCCUUAUCCCAUCAAACAACACGUUGCCAUCAAUGCUGCUAUGACCAACUAGAUUCCCAGUUUCUCCAAACUACUGUUAAACCAGAUGGAUGGUGUAGAAGGGGCAUAUCUGAGGUCCUGUUUCAUGGUGACAGCAGCAGAACAGAACCUUCAUCUCAAACAUAAGGACUGAUCCAGUUUUAUCUUUGUCUGGACAUGUCCCCUGCUGGCAGUUUCCUUGGUGCAAAGGCAGUGUAACGCCAAACUGCCACCAGGAGUAGCUGGCAGAGAUGGAGUGUGGCAGCCUCUGCUGCUCCACCUGGACAGUCAGGCUUCUUUAGCUGUACAAUGGCCUUUGAGAAAUAAAUGUCUCCGGUUUAUGAAAAUUAAGCCUCAGGUUGCUCACGGGCUCCUUGCUGGUUACUAAUCUGGCUGUCGUUUGGGUAAAGCUUGAGGGAGGACCAUCAUCUCCAGGAGCAAAAAGUCCUGCUUUGCCUCCUGGCAGGUUUGCAGUGGGAAAGGAGCGCUGGGAAACCGCAGGGAAAGGACCUGGAGCCUUAUUGCCGGGGUAGGUGAAAGCAAAGCAGGGCAUUUGGAAAAGGGUCACAAGAGAUGAGCGUACCAGCCCUGUGUGGGGAAUGUGCUGUGGGAGAUGUACCACACCAUGGUCCCGAAGCUCAGAAAAAUUUGUCCAGAUGAAUUUUUUGUCCAGAUGAAGCAGGACACAGGGACAGCAGCAUCACCCCCCUCCAUAGCUUUAUCAACAGAUUGGUGGAAAUUGAGUGAGGUGGCUACAGAGACUUUGUGUGCACAGGUACAUGUAUAUAAGACUGCUGGUCCUGGUGCUACACUCCUGCUUUUAAAACACUGUACAGCUGCUCAGACAAUAACAUUUGAGUGAUUUCAUCAGAUCUUUUCCCUUUUGAAAGCAAAUGAUUUAAAAAUCAUAAAAUGUAUUUGACAUUCUUGAUUGCAUCCCAAAUCACUGAGCUAAUGAGUUAAGAGUCUGAACAACAGCUCAAGGAAACCAAAUGAAACGGUGUAUUAUUUACAGAUGACAACUGCCCAGAAAAUGGAAUGGGCACCAAGGAGCGAGAUGGAAAAAAUCCGAUCCUCCUCAUUAAACUGCUCACUCUUUAACAACAGAUGGUAUGUUUGUGGGUGUUUGCCAUUAAGAAAGUCAGGGCCCUGGACCAAAGGGAAAAUAUAAGCCACAUUUAACUAUUUGCAUAUGUUGACUUCUGGAAUCAUUUCCAAUCAGAUAUAAUGUUAGACAUCAUACACUGACCCCUCGGUUUUGUUUGCCUGUGCUCUUUCAUUUGUUUGUCAUUGUUUGUCCUGUGACCCAGCAUGACAGCAAAAUGUUCAGUAUUGUUUUACUGUAAAUGGCAAACAAGCUCGGACAACUACUUAAAAGAAAGGAGAACUGCAGCUCAUGGAAGAUUUUCUAUAGCAGAGACAUUUUAAUAGAGGCAGGAGGGAGCCUUUAUUAUGUCUGCCUCUAUUCAAAUAAAUAGUAAUUUAUUUGCCCAUAUGUUAUGCCAAUUUGCAUCACUCAGAAUUUAUUUUAAUGUGUUGCCUGCCUGUCUGCUUCAGACUGAUGGAGGGUUUUUUUAAACCUCAACUAAAAUUUUCUAAGAAUGAUGCUAAGGAAAAAUAGGUUGUUUUGCCAUUCUGAAAACUCCUGCCUAUGCAAAUCUCUUGUGUGUGUACCAUCCAGAUCAUUGAUACCUGUACUCACAUAUAUAUAUGCAUCUCUGUGUGUGCAGGCAUGCACGCAUGUGUGUGUGUGUGUAUAUAUGUAUAAUUCAGUUGUGGUUAUUUUUCUUCCUACCUCAUUCAAAUGACUGAGACUUGGAGAACGUGUUAGUGUUAUGGAAGGAGGAGAAAAAUGACUUUAUGCUUAAAGCAGCCAUCCUCAGCCCUGGAGAGCUGGAUUUGAAUUCUGCUUUUACGUGGAGUUCCCACAUGAUGCCAGCCAUGGGAUGUAGGAUGCUUUUCCCAGCUGGUUGUCAAAACACAUCUACACUGCGGACUGCUGUUCUAAACCUUCAUGGCAGCUUCUGUGCUCUCCUAGGAGUACCUCAGCAGGCCAGCACGGUGCUGCCUGGCACCUCCAUCCAGCAGCACCCCAGGUCUUCUGCCCCCAGGUCCUGCUCUGCAGACAUGCAGCACCAAGGUCAGAGAGAAAUUGCAUUUUGUAACUGGAUUUUCAAUCAGAUUGACCAAAGUCAGAUUACAUCUGAACCCAUGCUCUAAUCACUAGGCUGUUUGAUUUAAGCAUGUAUGCCAAAAUGGAUUUCCCCCCUGCCUCUGUCAGUACACUGUCUUAUCUAUGCAUUAGGAAUUUCUUCUGUAUGUUUUCUGCUGAGCUGUUUGAUUCUUCUGACUAUGCUACAAUAGACUGAAAUUGGUCUCGGAUGCAGUGAGACAUAUUCCCCCUUCCACUCCAUGGAGAUAAUUUUGCUGAGCUCUCUCUGCCAAGCAUCACAGCCUGGACCCCACCAAUGGUAUUAGAGAUGCUAAUGGGCAAAAAUUAUGUCCCCGGUUAUUUUGGUGAGGUUGCGUUAGUACAAUUUACUCCAGAGUUUGGCUUAUGUACCUCAUGCUGUCACCACCAAAACACAUUCUUUAAUAUUAGAUGAAUCCCAAAGGUGUUCCUGAAAGAAUAAAAAAAAUCAGCCAUGUAAUGUCUUUACUGGAAGCAGCAAAAUUAUUUCCAUUACAAUAUAGUAUUGAAUCUCUCUCCUAUUCCACUGUGAAGCAAUGGGAAAAUGAUCUCAUAAGCAGGAUUUUGCUAAGGUUUUUUGAAACGUUUUUUGAAACAGCUUCACAGCCUUACCCCUGUCGCUGUCAAACUGGCAUACUGUAUACCUUGAAACGCCGUGCACUGCACAGCCAUAAAUCCCACAUGGAUUUAUCCAGCAGGCUUAGCGUCAUUAGCCCCUGUCAUAGACAGGCAGCAGUGCUGAAUGAGCACAUAACUUGACAGAGGUCAUACAAGGUAGCAGAGACCUUGCAAGAGAGCGCAGGUUUCGCAACAGCCGCCCGUUUUCUGAGCACUGCUGGAUGAGCAGCCGGGGUGCAAUGCCCUCUCGCUAUCAUUUCCUUCUGCCUUCCACCAUUUCCAUCAAGAAUGCAUCUGUGCACCAGCAAAAACCUUUAUCAGGCAUUUUGUUGUCUGGUUUCUGACCCAAACCAAGCUACCUGUCAUUCUUCAGAGUCGUCGCCUAAUCUCAGUGGGGUUGGUUUUAAUAUCAUUGUAAUUGUGUUAACGUGUUUGCUGAGCAAGCGCUCGUAGCCUGUGCUGACCGCUUGGAAUUCAAAAUUAGCACCGUAAUUGCAUUUCACAGGCUACCGGUCGAUGGGAAAUUUCACCUCAUUUGUGGAUUUGCAUGUUCUGAAAUAGGUCGGAGAUGCAGAUGGCUUUGAAAGAAGAAAAAAAAAUGAAAAGGGUUGGAGUCAGGCUCCUAUUUUGCUGAUUAGAUUAAGCGCCUUCUGACGGGGUGAGUGCUCACAUCCAGUUCGGUGGUUCACUAGUGCUGAGUGAAUCAUCAAGAGUGUCUCUGGAAUUUUCCUGGCGGGUGUUUCCUGGGUAGCUUCCAGAAGCGUUCAUGCACAGUGCAGCGGGAUGCGCGGGUUUGUUAUUCUCUGCAGCUCCAUCAGGGAGCUGGAAGAGAGCAGCAGAUGAGCCUGACAUCGGUGGAGUCUGAGGGCAGAGGAAAAACAGUUUUCCAUUACCAUGAUGCUGAAGUUGUAAUUAAAUAUAGGUGUUGCCAACUGCAAGAUCUGUUAGAUAACUGAGCAAACAUCUCUGGGGAAGCGACCUUGGCCUGCGGCAAUUUUCUCACUUCUGUGGACAGGAGGAAAGCUACCAAGGUCCCUAGUCAAGCCUUUCUUUGCUUAUCAUUUCAAUCCCAGCAAUUAAGGGCAGUCUCAGUAAGUUAAAGUCCCUCAAGGAACAUGAAGAGGAGCCCACCCUGUUCCUCCAGUGUGUCAGCAUGUUUUGAGGCCUAUUUUCCCACAUAUUACGGUGGGGUGAAAGACAAAUAAAAGCACUGCAGGGACACACAACCUACUUCUGCGAGCGCUUUUGUGCUGUGUGCUGUAUGGGUUUGCCUUUUUCUGGCUUUCUGUUUUCUCUUUUACUUGCCUGCCUUCCUACACACCCACAAACACUGGAUUUAUCUCUCAGUUUAGUAACAUCAACAAAAAAGAACCGAGUUGCUUUAAUGACCAGCUAUGUUGUUGGAGGAAGCCACCUUGCAUGCAGCGCCUCCCGCCCGGUGAAGAGGCAGCACCGUAUGGAAACCUGCCACAAUGCUGCUUGAUGCCACCUCCCCACUACGAAAUGUGUUCAGAACUGUCGCAUGGCCACGGUAUCGCUGCAGACACGGCUGCACACCAGCCACGGGUAUCUGGAGACAACUCCUGAUACGCAGAGGCAAGACGUUUCCAUAUGGGCUGAAGGAGAACCUGCUGGCCACUGGCUGAACAUGAGCCAUGCUUAUUAGGUGGCUGACCACGGAGUUCAGAGCUACCACAUGAAAUCCACCAUCUAAGCUGAAAUGGAUCCGAAUGCAGCGCGUGAAGAUCUCUGCCCAUCGAUAGCACCUCUGACACACCUAAGCUCAGCCAAAAGCCAGAGGGUUUGGUGUGUGCUGGUUUAUCUGUGCUCUGAUUUUAUGCUAAGCAUUGCAAAAAUCAAGAACUGAUUGUUUAUUUAUAAUUAAAGUGGUUUGGUUUUUUUUCCCCAGCAACGAAUUUCUUAAAGACAUUCAAAUCGAGUGUACAUUGAGAUGGAAAUGGAGGAUUAUUUUCAUAAAUACAUCAAUAAUCCUUGUUAGUGGCAGCCUGGUGGCUUGCCUUGUCUGACAAUCUGCUCACAGUGUAUGUUUUCUUGUUUUGUUAUUUUGAUUCCCAUUUGAUUUAUAUAUAGAAAAAAAAGUGUAUCAAUGAACAAAGAACAUAUCCGUGUCAAAUGAUUAAACCAUGAGGUUGAUAUGAACUGCAAAACAAUAAGUUGCUUUGAGUAAUUCAUCGUAUCAUCAGCCUUGAAGAAUGGAUAAAAACAUCAUACAAAAUUCACAACAAAAGUUAUCUAGGAAAAAUGUGACAUAAUGCUGUCAGCAAAGCCAUGUAGAGAAAAACUAAAAGGAGAGGGAAAAAAGGAAAUUAAAAAGCAAAGUUGAUGCUGCCUCUCAGGUUCUUCUGCCCUCGUAAUUGUUUCCAACGGACUGUGACUACAUUGUUCUUAAGUUUUUCAAGCUCAAUUCUUCCAUGGAGCAGAAAAGCAAAUAAGACUAUAAUAAUUAUUCAUGCUGUACAGGUAUUCCACUGUGUUUAAUGUUGUAGCUAAAGCAGAUCAGAAAAAUUAUAGCUAUGUUUUUGCCCAUUUCUUGGAGUCAGUUUUUGAUGGAAAGGAUUCCAGCUCAGUGGUUUUUGGACAGAGGCCAGCUAGGUUUUGGUCUGCCGUCAUACCUACAGAGCCAGCCUGCAGCAGGCAACCCGACAGAGCCCCAGCAUCCCAACCCCUUGUGGGUGAUUGUCACCCCAUGAGAGUGGAAUGAGACCUGAAGGUUUGAAGUCAUAUUUACAUUCAUGUGAGAACAAACAGAAGAGCUUGAAAAUGAGAUUACCCUGAAAGAUACCUGGAUGCUUUGACUGUAUUAAAAAGUCAUCACUGGCAGCCCUUAUAAUACAUUUCCUUGAGAAACCAACAAGAGCUGGAAGAAGAAAGAUAAUCCUCAUUUGCAGAGAUUUGCUAUUUUAAGGCUUUGUGCAGUCUGGAAUGACUCUAUACCCAUGGCAGAGCCUGCUGGUGCAGUCAUCCAGACUUUUGCUACAGGACCAGAGGUCUGGCUCAAAACUCAUGCUAGUCUCAUACAGACCAGUUAUAAUUGGUUUCUUUAAGUGGUGAAUCAAAAGCAGCUCAACACGGUGCUAUCAUACCUCUAGCUGUCAGCUGCAGAAACUAGCUCACCUCGACCCCUUGGCCCGAUGUGUCACCAGUGUGCCCGAUGUGCCUUCUCAGUGCUGUCUGUGUUCAGAGUAACGACAAGCAGACAGAGUAUGGAGAAGCUCUGAUGCAUGAAGCACAGAGCAAUCAUAAAGCACACAAUGGCAACUCACACAGCAAAUAAAUCCCCCGGCCUCCUGCUGAAGAGUUAAGGAAACACUGAGGGUCUGAAGCAGACCCAGCAGAGUGCUCAGCUCAUGAGAACUCUGGUCUCAUAAAAUAUUUGGGGAAUGGAGCGUGUGCAAGAGACAGGACAAUAAAUAUCACUGCUUUUCCAAGAGAAAUCCAAUGCUUAACACAGGCAAAGUAACAGCAAAUAGGAUCUGCUUACACAGCCUACUCCCCAAAACUGGAGCUAUCCUUCCUUGCACUGCAAAACAUUUGGGUGAAGAAGUGGCAACGUCAGGGUUUAUUGAGGGAUAUGAGAAGGCAGGGACACAGAUACACACCAUCACUCCUGCCACGUACCAGCGUUCAAGCCACAUCAAACUCUUCAUCCCCCAGAGUUCAGCCCGGGCAAGGUUGGCAUCAGUGGUGCACGCCAGCGUAGCCACGGCUGGGCAGCCCUCGCUCUUCCGUAGCAUCAUUUCUAGGGCACCCAGCCCAGAUUUUACAGACCUCCCUGCACAGCAAGUAACAGUGCUAACUGCUAAUUUAUUUAUAACAAAUUCCUCAUUUAUUUUUGGUUUUCAAAUGCUAUAGAGAAAGAGGGAAUCAGUCAGCAAGACUGACACACAGCAAAUACCUCCAGGGAAGACAGUGAUCUGUGCCAUUGCUAUUGACUUCAUUUGUCUGACUUGAUUUGACAGUCCAGACUGCUUUUCUCCCUUCUGCGUUUUGCACAAGAUGCAUCUAGAGCUUGAAUUCAUCUGGUUUCAUGCAGGGUGCCAUCUGAUCAUCCCCAGGCAUGUGGUUUGAAGCUCUCUGACGGAUGGGUAUAGGUCCAGAUCCUUAUAUCCUCAUUGGAAAGCUGGGGCAUGUUUGAUGCCUGUCUGGAGUAGAGCUUUUGGUGCAGUUUCUUUCAAAGGAAGCCUACUUCCCAUGUGCCAAGCAAUUUUGUGUUCCUGAAGUGGGAAUGACCAGGGGGUUCAUUUCAACACUACAUUACUGUACCAAAUAAAAAUGCAGCUGUAGAUGGAACAACAGAUAAGGCAUUUCAUGUUACUAACCAUACAUACUGACCAUGUGAUCACAUUGUUCAACCUCAUCUAUCUGAAAGAAAAGCAAAUAACAAAAAAGGACUCAGAUUAAGGACUAUGCUCUUUGGAGAUGUCUUUAUUUCCCCCUGAUGACAUCUGUGACAUGGGUGAUUUGGAAAUAUUGUGGAGAAGCCUGAAGGAAUAAAGACUAAAAAAAGCAUGAAAAUUACUUUAGUAAUAAAGCAUUCAAGAAUCUC